rnacentral:rRNA from 1 species
UACGUAGGGGGCGAGCGUUGUCCGGAUUUAUUGGGCGUAAAGAGCGUGUAGGCGGUUCGGUAAGUCUGUCGUGAAAUCCUGAGGCUCAACCUCGGGCGUGCGAUGGAUACUGCCGGGCUAGAGGGUGGUAGAGGCGAGUGGAAUUCCCGGUGUAGCGGUGAAAUGCGCAGAUAUCAGGGAGAACACCCGUGGCGAAGGCGGCUCUCUGGGACGGUACUGACGCUGAGACGCGAAAGCGUGGGGAGCGAACAGG